rnacentral:rRNA from 1 species
AAUCAACGCUGGCGGCGUGCCUCAGACAUGCAAGUCGAACGAUUAAACUUUCCUUCGGGGAAGAUAUAAAGUGGCGCACGGGUGAGUAACACGUAAGUAAUCUACCUUCGAGUGGGGAAUAACAUCGGGAAACCGAUGCUAAUACCGCAUAACGCAGCGGCAUCUUAUGGUGACAGUUGUUAAAGGAGCAAUUCGCUUGAAGAGGAGCUUGCGGCAGAUUAGCUAGUUGGUAAGGUAAUGGCUUACUAAGGCUUCGAUCUGUAUCCGGUCUAAGAGGACGGUCGGACACACUGACACUGAAUAACGGGUCAGACUCCUACGGGAGGCAGCAGUCGGGAAUUUUGGGCAAUGGGCGAAAGCCUGACCCAGCAACGCCGCGUGAAGGAUGAAGUAUUUCGGUAUGUAAACUUCGAAAGAAUGGGAAGAACUCAAUGACGGUACCAUUUAUAAGCUCCGGCUAACUACGUGCCAGCAGCCGCGGUAAUACGUAGGGAGCAAGCGUUGUUCGGU